rnacentral:rRNA from 1 species
AUGAAGGACCUUGCUGAGGUGCGCUCUGAGGAGCUGCAUCUACGCAGCACGGGCUUGUUGCCGUCCUCUUCAGCAGUCCUGGCUGCCCACACUACACCCUUGCUGCAAGGUGGGCCUUCUACACCGGUGGCAGCAGCCUCCAAUAGAGCCUUCAGCACCUACUGGAAGCAGGAUGGUCACAUGAUCAUGGAGUGCAUUAAGAGGAAGAGACAGGGUCGUAGCCGUCCUCACAAGGACUCAGGAGGCUCCUCUGAUUCUCGUGACGACUCCCUUGAGAAGGUUCACCAAGAGAUGCUCACCUUGCUGCGCCACCUUGCUGCUUCUGCACCAUCCUGA